AUGUCCAUGGGUCAGACCAAAAUGUGUUCCAG
rnacentral:misc_RNA from 1 species